UACAGAGGGGGCAAGCGUUGUUCGGAAUUACUGGGCGUAAAGGGCGCGUAGGCGGCCUGUUAAGUCGAACGUGAAAUCCCUGGGCUCAACCCAGGAACUGCGUCCGAUACUGGCAGGCUUGAAUUCGGGAGAGGGAUGUAGAAUUCCAGGUGUAGCGGUGAAAUGCGUAGAUAUCUGGAGGAAUACCGGUGGCGAAGGCGGCAUCCUGGACCAUAACUGACGCUGAGGCGCGAAAGCUAGGGGAGCAAACGGG
rnacentral:rRNA from 1 species